AGAAAAUAUGUUGGAUUGCAGGAAUGCACAUCAUGGAAGGAAGAAUGGAAGAAGCUGGUAGGAAGAGUGAAUCUUGAAGCCUGAUCACCGUGUUUUACUAUAAACCAAAAUAGAGCGAGAAGCAUGAUUUCACAUAAGAUAUUUCCCACAAAUUUUACUGGCAUCCUUCUGUUGGGCAUCCAGAUCAGCUUCUGAAGUCGGAGCAGUAGCUGUACGUUUUCUUCUGAGAGAUGCUGGUACUUAAUGUAAAUCUGACAUUGAUGUCCAUCUCUAGAAGAAUAUUGAGACCAUGGCAGAGUUCCUAAGGCUCCCAGG